rnacentral:rRNA from 1 species
CCGCGUGGAGGAUGAAGGUUUUCGGAUUGUAAACUCCUUUCAGCAGGGACGAAGGCGCCUAGCGUUGACGGUACCUGCAGAAGAAGCCCCGGCUAACUACGUGCCAGCAGCCGCGGUAAUACGUAGGGGGCAAGCGUUGUCCGGAAUUAUUGGGCGUAAAGAGCACGUAGGCGGUUUGCCAAGUCAGAUGUGAAAUACCCCAGCUUAACUGAGGAACUGCAUUUGAAACUGGCAGGCUAGAGUACAGGAGAGGGAAGUGGAAUUCCUAGUGUAGCGGUGGAAUGCGCAGAUAUUAGGAAGAACACCGGUGGCGAAGGCGGCUUCCUGGACUGUUACUGACGCUGAGGUGCGAAAGCUAGGGGAGCGAACAGGAUUAGAUACCCUGGUAGUCCUAGCCGUAAACGAUGGGCACUAGGUGUAGGGAGUAUCAACUCUCCCUGUGCCGCAGCUAACGCAUUAAGUGCCCCGCCUGGGGAGUACGGUCGCAAGACUGAAACUCAAAGGAAUUGACGGGGGCCCGCACAAGCGGUGGAGCAUGUGGUUCAAUUCGACGCAACGCGAAGAACCUUACCGGGGUUUGAACUGCACGGGACACCUGCAGAGAUGUAGGGUUCCUUCGGGACUCGUGUAGAGGUGCUGCAUGGCUGUCGUCAGCUCGUGUCGUGAGAUGUUGGGUUAAGUCCCGCAACGAGCGCAACCCUCGCCUCCUGUUGCCAGCAG